GGGAAGUUUACCCUGCUCUAUUGUUAUUUCCAGCUGAGAGGAAGACCUCUGUCUCUUAUGAAGGAGACAUGGCAGUAGCUGAUGUUAUCAAGUUUAUAGCUCUUCAUGGAGUUAGCUCUCAACAUCUCACCAAUGAGAAGGGGAUUCUGUGGUCUGUAGCUGAAAAAAGUGGCAAGUAUCAUUUUAAAGACGCAUUACCAUCCACAAUUCACAAUGAAUCUCCUGUUGGGAAGGACAAAUACCAUGAGGUCCUAUUAAAGAACCGG
rnacentral:misc_RNA from 1 species